GCAAGUCGAACGGUAAGGUCCCGACUUGUCGGGAUACACGAGUGGCGAACGGGUGCGUAACGCGUAUGUAACUUACCUUUAACAAGAGAAUAGCCCUGAGAAAUUGGGAUUAAUACUCUAUAAUAUCAUAAAGUAGCCUUACUUAAUGAUUAAAGCUCCGGCGGUUAAAGAUAGGCAUGCGUGACAUUAGCUUGUUGGUGAGGUAAUGGCUCACCAAGGCAACGAUGUCUAGGGGGUCUGAGAGGAUGAUC
rnacentral:rRNA from 1 species